rnacentral:rRNA from 1 species
AGAGUUUGAUCCUGGCUCAGAUUGAACGCUGGCGGCAGGCUUAACACAUGCAAGUCGAGCGGGGGAGGGUAGCUUGCUACCUGACCUAGCGGCGGACGGGUGAGUAAUGCUUAGGAAUCUGCCUAUUAGUGGGGGACAACAUUCCGAAAGGAAUGCUAAUACCGCAUACGCCCUACGGGGGAAAGCAGGGGAUCUUCGGACCUUGCGCUAAUAGAUGAGCCUAAGUCAGAUUAGCUAGUUGGUGGGGUAAAGGCCUACCAAGGCGACGAUCUGUAGCGGGUCUGAGAGGAUGAUCCGCCACACUGGGACUGAGACACGGCCCAGACUCCUACGGGAGGCAGCAGUGGGGAAUAUUGGACAAUGGGCGAAAGCCUGAUCCAGCCAUGCCGCGUGUGUGAAGAAGGCCUUUUGGUUGUAAAGCACUUUAAGCGAGGAGGAGGCUACUUAGAUUAAUACUCUAGGAUAGUGGACGUUACUCGCAGAAUAAGCACCGGCUAACUCUGUGCCAGCAGCCGCGGUAAUACAGAGGGUGCGAGCGUUAAUCGGAUUUACUGGGCGUAAAGCGUGCGUAGGCGGCUUUUUAAGUCGGAUGUGAAAUCCCUGAGCUUAACUUAGGAAUUGCAUUCGAUACUGGGAAGCUAGAGUAUGGGAGAGGAUGGUAGAAUUCCAGGUGUAGCGGUGAAAUGCGUAGAGAUCUGGAGGAAUACCGAUGGCGAAGGCAGCCAUCUGGCCUAAUACUGACGCUGAGGUACGAAAGCAUGGGGAGCAAACAGG